AUUCUUUUCUAGUUCACAAGCAUAAUGAUUGGCUGUGAAUACAUUCCUGUAACAUAUGCCUCCCUUAAGCCUUGUUAUGAGAUAGCACAGUAGCCAUUUGAUG